rnacentral:rRNA from 1 species
GAUGAACGCUAGCGGCAGGCUUAACACAUGCAAGUCGAGGGGUAUAGGAAGCUUGCUUCCUAGAGACCGGCGCACGGGUGCGUAACGCGUAUGCAAUCUACCUUUUGCAGAGGGAUAGCCCAGAGAAAUUUGGAUUAAUACCUCAUAGUAUGUGAGAAUGGCAUCAUUUUCACAUUAAAGUCACAACGGCAAAAGAUGAGCAUGCGUCCCAUUAGCUUGUUGGUAAGGUAACGGCUUACCAAGGCAACGAUGGGUAGGGGUCCUGAGAGGGAGAUCCCCCACACUGGUGCUGAGACACGGACCAGACUCCUACAGGAGGCAGCAGUGAGGAAUAUUGGACAAUGGGCGCAAGCCUGAUCCAGCCAUGCCGCGUGCAGGAUGACGGUCCUAUGGAUUGUAAACUGCUUUUGUACAGGAAGAAACACUGGUUCGUGAACCAGCUUGACGGUACUGUAAGAAUAAGGAUCGGCUAACUCCGUGCCAGCCGCCGCUGUAAUAC